CUUGCUUCUGGAGAUGGAUGGAUGGGAUGGAUGGGAUGGACCUCGCUUCCGGAGAUGGAUGGAUGGAUGGGAUGGACCUCGCGUCUGGAGAUGAUGGAUGGAUGGGAUGGACCUCAAAGCUGCUGCCUGAGCCCUCCUUUGGGAUGAGGGAUUUGUUGGUGUGACCUCCCAGACGGCCACGACCUUUCAGCUUCUUAUCCCUUAAAAAACAGCAUCCAUCGGGAAUGGGAAUGGGAGCAGCGCUCUUGCCGUCGCCGUUCCGGGUUCUCCGGUGGGUCAACCAGAGGCAGAGGCUGUUGGGACACACAAGGUGGGGAGACACAGGAGGGAUUUUCCCGCUCCCACCCUCCACUGGAGGAGGGGGAGUCGUUUAGGGGGGGAUUUAUUCCCAGAAUUCCCCCGAGGAACCGCCGAGCUCGACGCGCCGAGGGGGCUCAACGCGCCUCCUCCUCCGGGCGCUGAGCACGAGAGGUUAUUAUUAUUUUAUUUUUUUUUGUUAUCAUAGCAAAAUUAAAAAGAAAAAAAAUAAUACUAUUAAAAAAUUUAAAAAAAAAAUUAAAAAAAAUAAAAUCCCACUUUUACAAGGAGAAAAAUAAAAAAAAAACCAAACCCUUUGUGGGUUUGAGCCACCCCCCCCCCCGACACGUGCCGUUAGCCAGCCGGUUUUCCACUGCAUUGUAAAAGUUCCCUCCUUCCAGCUGACAAUUUGAAGACCUUUUUUUCCUUUAAAUUAUCUCAGCUUUUAACUUCAUUUAAAAAAAAAAAAAAAAAGAAAAAAAAAAAAAAAGGACUUUCGUCUAAGGGAGAGUAUUAUUAUUAUAAUUAUUAUUAUUAUUAUUAUUAUUAUUCCGUGUUCUCUCGACGCCCUAAGAUCGAAAAAAAAAAGACAAACAAACCGCCUGAUAUGCAAAUAAUUGGAGUAAAACCAUGAAAACAAACAAACAAACGAGGAGAAUAUUUGCAAACACGAGUAUAAAAAGCACAACAAGAUGCAGUAAAACGAUGACAAGGCUUGAUUUUUUUUUUUUUUUUUUUUUUAUUCUGUAGAGAAAUGUUUGUGCAAAUUCAGUAAUUCAACUGAAGAGAUAAUUUUACAGCUGUUCAAUAAAGCCUCUUUCCAGGUAAGGUAUGACAAGUGGUGCGUGCGUUUGUUGAGCAGUGAGGCCCCCAAAAUGGCCUGGCCUGGGCUUUCCCUUCGUCAGCUGGUGGUGUCUGAAGGUCUAAUGGUCCAUACUGGUGAUGCUGGGGGGGCUGGAGCUUUCCCAGGAUAUUGGCUCCCGGCUUUGGAGGCACUUUGUGGGGGCUGGGAGAUGGGGGGAGCUCUGGUUUGGAUGGACUGUGGGGUCUGGAAAACCGUGGGAGCUCUGAGUCUGGAUGGACUGUGGGGUCUGGAUGGACUGUGAGGUUUGGAAAACAAUGGGAGCUCUGUCUGGAUGGACUGUGGGGUUUGGAAAAUAAUGGGAGCUCUGGUUUGGAUGGACUGUGGGGUCUGGAAAACCGUGGGAGCUCUGGUUUGGAUGGACUGUGGGGUCUGGAAAACCAUGGGAGCUCUGAGUCUGGAUGGACUGUGGGGUCUGGAAAAUAAUGGGAGCUCUGAGUCUGGAUGGACUGUGGGGUCUGGAUGGACUGUGAGGUUUGGAAAACAAUGGGAGCUCUGUCUGGAUGGACUGUGGGGUUUGGAAAAUAAUGGGAGCUCUGAGUCUGGAUGGACUGUGGGGUCUGGAAAAUAAUGGGAUCUCUGAGUCUGGAUGGAUUGUGGGGUCUGGAAAAUAAUGGGAUCUCUGAGUCUGGAUGGAUUGUGGGGUCUGGAAAAUAAUGGGAGCUCUGAGUCUGGAUGGACUGUGGGAUCUGGAAAACCGUGGGAUUUCUGAGUCUGGAUGGAUUGUGGGGUCUGGAAAACAAUGGGAUCUCUGAGUUUUAAUGGACUGUGGGGUCUGGAAAACAAUGAGGUCUCUGAUGGACUGUGGGGUCUGGAAAAUAGUGGGAGCUCUGAGUUUGAAUGGACUGUGGGGUCUGGAAAAUAAUGGGAUCUCUGAGUCUGGAUGGACUGUGAGAUCUGGAAAACAAUGGGAUCUCUUGAGUCUGGAUGGACUGUGGGGUUUGAAAAACCAUGGGAUUUCUGAGUCUGGAUGGACUGUGGGGUCUGGAAAAUAAUGGGAUCUCUGAGUCUGGAUGGACUGUGGGAUCUGGAAAACCGUGGGAUUUCUGAGUCUGGAUGGAUUGUGGGGUCUGGAAAACAAUGGGAUCUCUGAGUCUCUGAUGGACUGUGGGGUCUGGAAAAUAGUGGGAGCUCUGAGUUUGAAUGGACUGUGGGGUCUGGAAAAUAAUGGGAUCUCUGAGUCUGGAUGGACUGUGAGAUCUGGAAAACAAUGGGAUCUCUUGAGUCUGGAUGGACUGUGGGGUUUGAAAAACCAUGGGAUUUCUGAGUCUGGAUGGACUGUGGGGUCUGGAAAAUAAUGGGAUCUCUGAGUCUGGAUGGACUGUGGGGUCUGGAAAAUAAUGGGAGCUCUGAGUCUGGAUGGACUGUGAGGUUUGGAAAACCAUGGGAGCUCUGAGUUUUAAUGGACUGUGGGGUCUGGAAAAUAAUGGGAGCUCUGAGUCUGGAUGGACUGUGGGGUUUGGAAAACUGGGAGCUCUGAGUCUGGAUGGACUGUGGGGUCUGGAAAAUAAUGAGGUCUCUGAGUCUGGAUGGACUGUGGGAUUUGACACCCUUAAAAACACAAACCACCAAAUUUCCCGUUGGCAUCACUGGAUUUUGAGGGUGGCUGGCUGGCUGGAGGACCAGCUCAGGUAUGGCAAGACCCCGCUGCAGAUUUUUGAGCAGGAGGUUGUUGUCUCAUUACUCAGGACAUGUGGAAUCCAAACCUGGAUGUGCCUCCUCCCGCUGAUGUCUUGGGAAAGCCACAGAACCGAUGGAUGGUCCAAGAGGCUCCACCUUUGGAAGGGUCUGGCUUUGCCCAAGGCCACUGAGAGCCCUGACAGAAGUGGAUUCGUUCUCCUCUGGCAUUUCUCAUCCAUGUGUGACCUGGGUGGCUCCUUUUCCCCUCAUUUUCUGGUCAGAGCAGCACUUCAGGGAUGCUCCAGGCCGGAGCCUCAGCAGGCUCUGCAGGAGAUCCCACAGGUCAGAGACCUGGUCCUGCUGUGUUUUAUGAUGCACAACCUCACUGUCCUGAGCCUGGAAUAUUCCUGGACUAUGGAAAAAACAAAAAAGAGUGGCAACCUGUCAAUAAUUUUCACGGAAUCCCAGAUUCCCAGAGUGGUUUGGGUCGGAGGAGACCUUAAAGCUCAUCUCGUUCCACCCCCCUGCCACGGGAGGGAUGCUGUCCAUGAAACCAGGUUGAAGGAGCAUGUGAAACAUUCCAUUUCCUUUCAAAUAUUUUUCCUGGUAUUCUCCAGAAACAGACUCCAAAUCAGCUGAGCCUUCAGUGCCCGUUGCUCAGCAGGGACCAGGAGAAGGGUUUUCCCAAGCACCAAGGGCAGAGCUGGUGGUGAGGGUGUGACUCCACGGGAAGGGAGGUUUGGGAAGUGCCCUGGAACGUCCCCAGCUGUCCUGAAGAUCAGGGAAUGGAGAUCCUGGUUGCUUGUGUAGAUCCCAAGCUGAGACUCCAGGCUGGAAUCCUGGUCUCUCUUUCCAUGUCGAUUUUUCUUUCCCUCCCUCGCAUUAUUUUGGAUAAAGGGUUUUGAUUGACAGCCAAAGACCACAAACAUCUCCUUUCAGGGCAGGAUAAUCUGUUUGUCCUGAAAAGCCCAGGUCUUUGUGUGCAAGGGAAUUUAUUUCCCAUCCCUAUUCCGGUUUUACUCUGCCUGGGGGCAGAAGGUGAAAAGAAAAGCUGCUUUUCUCUCUCUCCAGUGUUGACUCAGGAGCAGCGUUAUCUUCCUUCACAUUCCCGGGAUAAACCACUGGAAAGGGCAGUGGGAUUUUACUCCAGGCCAUGAAUAAGAAGAACAAAUUGAGAUAUGCAUUUCCUAGUCUCGAUUUUUGUUUUAUUUUUAGUCUUUUUGGUGCAAAUGGAUGCAGAAUUUGUAAGAUAUUUGGACCAGGAAUCAGACAAAGGGAGUUGGAACUGGCAGGUCUCCUGAGGAAUCUGAAAACCCUCUGACUCAGUUCUGGGUUAUCCCAUCUAAUAAUGUCUCUGAUGGAGCUUUAAACUGGAAAUCAGAUGCUGAAUGGUGCAAAUGUGGACUGUGCAGCAACUCCAGCACUGGGAUGUUGGGAUCAGCAACUGGUUUGGAUGGGAUAGCUGGGGGAGUUUGCUGGGUGUUCCCCAAGCAGAGGGAGGUGGAGGUUUGAAUGGGAAAUCAUGGAAUUACAGAAUAGUUCGGGUUGGAAGGGACUUAAAGCUCAUCUGGUUCCACCCAGGGACACCUUCCACUAUCCCAGGUUGCUCCAAGCCGUGUCCAACUGCCCUUGGGCACUUCCAGGGGUGGGGAAUCCACCACCUCUCUGGGAAUCCUGUGUCCCACAUGGAAUUAUGGAACACUUGGACGUGCUGCCAACCCAGCUCUCCUCCAGCCUGGAUGGGAUACCAGGAGGGAUAAAGGAGCACAGACCAAAAGGGAGCAGAGAAAGACCUUACAAAUCACCCUCAAAUGCCCAAUUAUGGUUGGAAGGCAGGAGCAGCUCUUGGAGAGCCCAGAAAAGGGGAGAUGACCCACGUGAGGAACAUGUGGACAACAAGGUCUUCACACUGAGCCCAUCUCGUCUCAUCAGCCACUUUUUGGGGACUGCAAUCCAAGGCUGUGCUGCUCUCAGCCCCACAGAAAUCCUUGGAAUUGGGCAAUUUCCCCUGAAUUUGAGAGAGGACCCAAAAGGGAUGGAGCUGCACCUUCCAGCCCCACCACGAGUCCUGCCCCCCACUGGUGCCAGAGCUUUCCUUCUUCACAUCCAGCACUGGAACCUCUGCUCCAUUCGGGGCACAAUCAGGUUUUGGGGGUGAUUGGAAUCCCCAAACUUUAAGACAAAGUUGAUCAGUUAAAGCAUCAACUUCUUGUUUAAGAUUUUUUUCUCUUUUCCCUGUAAGGGCAGUGAAAUCCCUUUCUACUGAGAAGUUAAGGCAGAAGGAUCAGAUUUUUUUCCCCAUGGAAAAAGUGGAAGAGGCUUCCCUGGGUUUAUUUUCGGAGGGUUUACUCACUAGCAAUGUUUUUUCAUGUAUUGAAGGGUAAUUGAAACUCUCUUCCUCCCCAAGAAGAGCUGCCAUCCGUCAGAAAAAUGACUUUUUAGAGCAGUUCAAUAAAAAUAAGAUACAGUUUGGUAUUUUAAGCACUCUCUGCCUCUCUGUGCUAAUAAAGAGAUUGGGUGCCAUCUGGAUUAAUGCUUGGAUUUUCCCAUAAAACCAUAAAAAGCUAUAAAAAGGUUAUUUUUCCAUUUCAAAUUCUUCUUUUUUUCUUUUCUUCUUAAUUUUUGUGAAAAAAAAAAAGCAGCGGUGCAGGAGCUUUUAUGGCUCCUCCACCACAAUGCCAGAGUCAGGCAGGAAAGAGGGAAUUCAACCAUUCCAUUAUGGAAUUUCGGGACCUACAGAACGUGCAGUCCUGGGACUUCCAGAGUUCUCAAUUUUCUGUCACCUUUCCCUAAAGCCCUGACUGGUGUCACCCCAUAAAUCCCAUGGGAAUUAGGUGCCUGUGGGAUUUGGGAUGGGGAAGGAGGGGCUGAACUCGCUAAUUAAUCCAUCUUAAAACCAAUUUAAAGGCACAGGAGGGAGGAUGUGUUUGGGCCUUGCCCUCUGCACUGGCUCCAAGGCUGUGGCAAGACCUUGCUGGGGGGAUAUUUGUCCUAAAAACCCAAUUCUUGGUACCUGUUUAGCAUCAUUUAUUCCUGUUUAUCCCUUCCUGGUAUUAAAUUCCUCUCCCUUUCUACCCCCAGGCUGCUCCAAGUCCCCCCUUUUUGGCUGUUUCUUUUUCCAAUAUCUGGGUUAGAAAAGUGAAAUAAUACCAAAUUAAAGCUGUCAGUAACCCAAAUACAGGGAAUUUGGGGUUGUACACCCUGCUGUUACUUAUUAAAAUACUGUUCAGUUUUCCUUUUUUUUAUCUAUCAGAUUGGAGAGCUUGGGCUACAAGGUUUAUACUCUGGGAAGCUGCUUGUGUUUCUUCCCAAAAAAAAACAGAUCCAAAGGGUGGGAAUGUGUCACCCCACUCAGCCCUGGGAGCCUCUGGAGAGCAAGGUUCAGCCACUCAGCUUUCUUUUAAUAAAAACAUCUUUCCCGUGGAAUUUUGGAAUGCUUUGGGUGGGAAGGGAACCUUCAAGCCCACCCAGUGCCACCCCCUGCCCUGGGCUUUGCUCCCAGUUGAGGUCGUGGUUGACAACUGGAGGAAUCUCCACCUCAAUCCCUCGGGAUUUGGGAUCCCUGCAUGGAACAAAUCCUCUCCUACAGGCUGGAAAAAAAACCCAACCAAGGAUCACUGAGACAACUGUUCAUCUCUUGACUCGUUUUUGAUGGAUCUGACCACAAAAGAGACGGAAGAAAUUAAGAAUUAACAAUUAACAGCCUCGGCACCUUCUCAGGAAAGAUCAGAUGAGCUGCUUGCACACAGCCAACUGCAAAGGGGGGAAACCACAUGUUUGUGUCUGUAAAUACCAUAUAAAUAGCUGUAAUUGUAUGUAUUUAAUGUAUAUAAAGCUGAGGAUUACAUUUUAACAAUCUCAAGCACUGUACAGAGCCCCAGACCUGCUCUCUUGUUUUACUACCACACCCGCUGGAGGUUUAUUAUUUUUUUUUGUCAUUGUCGUUUCUGUACCUUGGUUGAAUUACAAACUGGCCUCACUUUUACCUCAAA